AGCCACAGCCCCCCCCAGCGUCCGCGCCGUGCCCUGCGUCCGCCGCGCCCGGGCAGGUGCGCCGAGAGGUGGCCUCGCCUCCCGUGGCGCUCGGCCGAGGUGGCCUCCGCGUUGCGCCACCGAACGAGCUUGGGAGGCGCCGCGAAGGCACCGCGGGUCCGGGCGCGGCCCGGAAAAGAAGCGAGAAGGGCAGGGGACGGGCGCCGCCGAAGGUCCCGAAGGUAGCCUGCUGAAGCCCAGCAGGGGGCUCGGACGUCGCCCCGCCCCGGAACAUGGACGCAGGCUUCCCGCACCACCUUGGGGCAGACCUCCGCGGCCACCCCGGCCCCAUGUCCACUACCAGAGCAAAGCCCACGACAGUGGCCAGCCUUGCCACUCCCGGGACAGAAGCAGUGCCCCUCGGCCAAUGGCUCGGAGGAGGUUAGGAGCGACCUGCAGAUACCUGAUGGCCUUUGGCAAUUGGGAACUUUAUGGAACCGGGAUCAAGACUCAGGACCCAGGGGGCAGGUCUGAAAUACGGCUGAUUGGGUUUGCUCUUAACAAACAUAUGAUCAUCUCACAGACAUAAUAUCUCAUCCUGUUUUGUUAUCGAAACAUCACCUACGAUUUUGAAGGUGGUUCUCUUCAAAGAAACAACCAGAGAGCUCAGAUGCUAAGGGGAGGAGCCUGUGGGGAGCUAAGUCCUGGAAAGCUGUGUGUGCCUGUGAUCCUGGCUACUCCAUAGGAUGAGGCAGGAAGAUCUGGAAAGUUCAAGGCCAGCUCAAGCACCUUAGCUGGAAGUUCCAGGAGUCCAUAGGAAAGACAAUGGAGACACAUUCACUGAAGAUUGUCGGAGAAUGAAGUAACACGUAGGGAAAGGUCCAUCAUUGUCGAUGGGUGCGAUUUAAAAAACUACGGUGAAUACUGCUGUCUAGGGUCAUCCAACAGGAAGGCAGGCUUGUAAAAAUGUGACGCUGUGUCCUCGUCCUCCUUAUUCACUGGAUCUGGCAUGGAGUGACUUCUGACUCUUCCCCAAAGUCAAAAUGGCCAUGCAAGAUCAACCUUUUGAAUCAAUUCAGGACAUCAAGGCAGCCAUGACUAUGAAACUAAAGACACACACGAAAGUUGACUUCCAGAACUGCUUUAGAAGAUGGCAAGGACAGUGAGGGUGACAAGAAAAACAAGUGUUCAUCCCCAGGAGACUGGAGAAACAAGCUAUCGUGAAUUCAUACACGAUGGACUUUCUACUCGACAAUAAAAAGGAAUGAACUACUCACCUACAACAGCAUGCCUGAAUCUCAAAGACAUUUUGCUGAGCGAAAGGAACUUCACACAUAAAUAGUAGGUAUUGGGCCGGGGAUUUAGCUCAGUG
rnacentral:lncRNA from 1 species